rnacentral:rRNA from 1 species
AAUGCAUGCAAGUCGAACGAAAGCCCUUCGGGGCGAAAGUGGCGAAAGGGCGAGUAAUACGAUCGAACGUACCCCAAGGUGGAGGAUAGUGUCGGGAAACUGACGGUAAUACUCCAUGUGCUCUUCGGAGGAAAGCUUUGGCGCCUCGGGAGCGGCGAUCGUCCUAUCAGGUAGUUGGUGAGGUAAUGGCUCACCAAGCCGAAGACGGGUAGCGGGUGUGAGAGCAUGACCCGCCGCAUCGGGACUGAGACACUGCCCGGACUCCUACGGGAGGCUGCAGCGACGAAUCUUCCGCAAUGGGCGCAAGCCUGACGGAGCAAUGCCGCGUGUGGGACGAAGCGUCUUCGACGUGUAAACCACUGUCAGAAUCUAGGAACACUGACCAGAUUCAAAGGAAGGGCCGGCUAACCUCGUGCCAGCAGCCGCGGUAAUACGAGGGGCCCGAGCGUUAAUCAGAAUCACUGGGCUUAAAGCGUGCGCAGGCGGUCCAGCAAGCGUCUUGUGAAAUCCCUCGGCUCAACCGGGGAAGUGCAGGGCGAACUGCUGGACUUGAGGCAGGUAGGGGCUGAUGGAACCAUGAGUGGAGCGGUGAAAUGCGUAGAUAUUCAUGGGAACGCCGAUGGGGAAGCCGAUCAGCUGGGCCUGUCCUGACGCUCAGGCACGAAAGCGUGGGGAGCAAACAGGAUAAGAUACCCUGGUAGUCCACGCCGUAAACGAUGCACACUAGGUCGGGGCAGCUCUGACGCUGUCUCGGCCGAAGGAAAACUAUUAAGUGUGCCGCCUGGGGAGUACGGUCGCAAGGCUAAAACUCAAAGGAAUUGACGGGGGCUCACACAAGCGGUGGAGCAUGUUGCUUAAUUCGAGGCAACGCGAAGAACCUUAUCCUAGGCUUGACAUGUAUGGAUUAGCUGUUGGAAACUUCAGUAACGCCCUUGGGGUGGAACAUAAAACAGGGUGCUGCAUGGCUGUCGUCAGCUCGUGCUGUGAAGUGUCGGGUUAAGUCCCUUAACGAGCGCAACCCCUGUCGUUAGUUGCCAACGCGUAAUGGCGUGCACUCUAGCGAGACUGCCGGUGUCAAACCGGAGGAAGGUGGGGACGACGUCAAGUCCUCAUGGCCCUUAUGCCUAGGGCUGCAAACGUGCUACAAUGGCACGGACAGAGCGAGGCGAUCCCGCGAGGGUGAGCAAAUCGCAAAAACUGUGCCCCAGUUCGGAUAGCAGGCUGCAAUUCGCCUGCUUGAAGUUGGAAUCGCUAGUAAUCGCGGAUCAGCUACGCCGCGGUGAAUGUGUUCCUGAGCCUUGUACACACCGCCCGUCACGUCAUGGAAGCCGGGAGCGCCCGAAGUCACGCCGUCUCAGGCGUGCCUA